UACAGAGGGGGCAAGCGUUGUUCGGAAUUACUGGGCGUAAAGGGCGCGUAGGCGGCCUGUUAAGUCGAACGUGAAAUCCCCGGGCUCAACCCGGGAACUGCGUCCGAUACUGGCAGGCUUGAAUCCGGGAGAGGGAUGCGGAAUUCCAGGUGUAGCGGUGAAAUGCGUAGAUAUCUGGAGGAACACCGGUGGCGAAGGCGGCCUGCUGGGCAGUAGCUGACGCUGAUGCGCGACAGCGUGGGGAGCAAACAGG
rnacentral:rRNA from 1 species